GUUGGCUAUACACAAGUCUGGAGCUCAGAAUGAGUUUACUAGCAGUCUGAAGGUUAGCAAUUGAUGAAGAUCGUGGUAUGGGACUUGUGCCAGGUGAUACAUCUGGAGAAGAAUCCACAGUCUUCUGCUCAGUAACUUUACCUCGCUACAGAGAAGGCUGCUCAUGGUGAAAUCCUUCCCUGCUGGAAUGUUCCUAGUCACUGCUCCUAGAACAGAUUCUUCAGACUGAUCUGAAUACUGACAGGCCCUGUCUUGCAAGAUGGUUGAUGAAAUAACAGAAGAAUGGAAAAAAAUAAAGAUGUGUUUCUUUAUACAAUAACAGUACAAGACAGCUGCAACACAUGCAACUAUACAAGAUGUAAUGCAUAAGAUCUAUACAUGGAAUGGCACAAAGAUCACACAGAAUUAAAGGAAGACAAACCACUGGAAGGGAGAAAAGGUGAGUUACAUUAGUUGUAUUUUAACAGUUUCAAACUAAACCAUUGCUAUGUAGA